GACGAACGCUGGCGGCGUGCCUAAUACAUGCAAGUAGGACGCAGUUGCGAACGGGUGAGUAACGCGUAAGUAAUUGCCCAUUAGAGGGGGAGAAGUAUUGGAAACGAUCGCUAAUUCCGCAUAUAUGUAGACGGACCCGAGUUUGAUUAGCUAGUGGGUAGGGUAAUGCCCUACCUCGGCGACGAUAAAUAGCCGACCGUGGAGGGUGAUCGGCGACACUGGGACUGAGACACGGCCCAGACUCCUACGGAAGGCAGCAGUAGAGAAUCUUCGGAGAUGGGGGGAACCCUGACCGAGCAACGCCGCGUGGGUGAAGAAGGUUAUCGGAUCUUAAAGAUCUGUUGUUAAGGAUGCGGUACUUAGCCAGAAAGGGACGGCUAACUACGUGCCAGCAGCCGCGGUAAUAC
rnacentral:rRNA from 1 species